rnacentral:lncRNA from 1 species
AAGCGUACAAAACUUUCAGUGUUCUCCCCAGAAAUUUUGGAUAGCAUCACAUUUUGCGUAAAUAAAAAUAACUGUAUUUUUUUUAAUUUCGUUUGUCGCGUCGCGUUGAUGCUCUAUUUCUUUAAUAUGUUUUAGUUUAUAUUGUUCAAUUCAUAACUGAGAAUACAAUUAAACUAUAACCACAAAAACAGUUGUUUCAGUUUAUGUUUUCUUUAUUCAUUUAUAGUUACAGAAUUAUUUUUUUCCUCUUGUGCC